rnacentral:rRNA from 1 species
CCUACGGGUGGAGCAGUGGGGAAUAUUGGACAAUGGGCGAAAGCCUGAUCCAGCCAUGCCGCGUGUGUGAAGAAGGCCUUCGGGUUGUAAAGCACUUUCAGUGGGGAAGAAAGCCUUGGGGCUAAUACCCUCGAGGAAGGACAUCACCCACAGAAGAAGCACCGGCUAACUCCGUGCCAGCAGCCGCGGUAAUACGGAGGGUGCGAGCGUGAAUCGGAAUUACUGGGCGUAAAGCGCGCGUAGGCGGUCUGAUAAGCCGGUUGUGAAAGCCCCGGGCUCAACCUGGGAACGGCAUCCGGAACUGUCAGGCUAGAGUGCAGGAGAGGAAGGUAGAAUUCCCGGUGUAGCGGUGAAAUGCGUAGAGAUCGGGAGGAAUACCAGUGGCGAAGGCGGCCUUCUGGACUGACACUGACGCUGAGGUGCGAAAGCGUGGGUAGCAAACAGGAUUAGAUACCCCAGUAGUC